CAAAGCUGGAAGUGGCUACGGGGCAAUUGCCGAGCAGCUUGGUGAAUGGAUUGGACUGGAGUGCUUCAGAGACUCCUCCAGGACUCCCACUGGCGUGCAUUAAAAACACAGCUGAAGUUUAAAGGCUGCCAAACAUCUCCACACAUGUUUCCCCCCCCGUGGUAUUAAAGCUUACAUGGGAGGUUGACAGCCUGAGGAAUGCGCCCUUCCUGGUGUUCAUCCGGGUCUCUGACGUCGAAAAGCUGAAUGUCACG